CCUCCCUGGCAAUGGGCAAAGAGACACCUUGUUGGUGUCUCUUAUUAUAUCAGUCAGGGGCAGAGCAGAUGACAGGACAGUCCUUUGUUCAUCCUAGCUUGAUGCCUGACUUGGCGGCCAAAGCUGUUUCAUACCUAGGAUACAUUU